rnacentral:rRNA from 1 species
GGGGAAUAUUGCACAAUGGGCGCAAGCCUGAUGCAGCAACGCCGCGUGCGGGAUGACGGCCUUCGGGUUGUAAACCGCUUUUAGUAGGGAAGAAGCCUUCGGGUGACGGUACCUGCAGAAAAAGGACCGGCUAACUACGUGCCAGCAGCCGCGGUAAUACGUAGGGUCCGAGCGUUGUCCGGAAUUAUUGGGCGUAAAGAGCUCGUAGGCGGUUUGUCGCGUCUGCUGUGAAAACUAGAGGCUCAACCUCUAGCCUGCAGUGGGUACGGGCAGACUUGAGUGGUGUAGGGGAGACUGGAAUUCCUGGUGUAGCGGUGGAAUGCGCAGAUAUCAGGAGGAACACCGAUGGCGAAGGCAGGUCUCUGGGCACUUACUGACGCUGAGGAGCGAAAGCGUGGGGAGCGAAC